UACGGGGGGGCAAGCGUUGUUCGGAAUUACUGGGCGUAAAGGGCUCGUAGGCGGCCAACUAAGUCAGACGUGAAAUCCCUCGGCUUAACCGGGGAACUGCGUCUGAUACUGGAUGGCUUGAGUUUGGGAGAGGGAUGCGGAAUUCCAGGUGUAGCGGUGAAAUGCGUAGAUAUCUGGAGGAACACCGGUGGCGAAGGCGGCAUCCUGGACCAACACUGACGCUGAGGAGCGAAAGCCAGGGGAGCAAAGCGGG
rnacentral:rRNA from 1 species